UCGCCUCGCCACUGCCGCGUGGUUACGUCAAGACAGCGGGCGGCCGCGUACUAGUUUCCUUAGUACUUGUGCUUCCGUGUCAAUACCGUGUGCUGUAAACUGCUGAACGAACUGAGAUACUCAUUCAGUUUUGGUCGCCUCUCCAUUAUCUCGUGGUGACGUAAAGGUGACGGCCCGUGUGUUAGUUUCCCCGGUAAUUGUGCCUCCGUAACAUUACUGUGUGCAGUGGUCGUGAGAACUGCGAGGCGGCGGUGUAGACUGUGCCGUGGAGAGCCGCGGGGUGUUGGAAUCGCCUCUCAGUCACCUUGAAGGCGUCAUAUUCCCUCCCUGCUCUUCCCCGUGUCUUCCUGUCGAUGUUGUAUUAUGAGUGCGGCUGUUCUGAGUGACAAUUACCUCAGCACAGCCUCGACCAAUCAGCACCAAGUAUUCAAGUCACGUGAUACUCUCUCCUCGCCGUCUGCUCAGCCAUUCGCCCUGCGCCCGCUGACGUGAUGUGACGGGUCUCCGGUUGUGUUGCAGCGGUGAGGUGGUGUUGCAUCUUUUCUCAGCGGGCGUGUUGUGGUGGAGUGCGGUGUGAAGGGAGAGGUGGAUAGGAGAUAAUUGGUGGGCUGUGUGUGGUGGUGCCACAUUGUCUGUGAGGGACCCCCAGAGCCACACAGCACCAGCUGCAACAGCUACAGCAGCAGCAGCAGCAGCAGCAGCAGCAGCAGCAGGAGGAGGAAAUGGCAUCCACCUACCUCACCCAGUGUCACCGGGGCCUCCUCCUCCUCCAGCAGCUGGCCAGGGUGCAGGGACAGGAUGAGCAAGCAGGUGGUGACAGAGAGGGUGGCCAGCUUGUCCCUCCCUCCUGCCACCCAGCCACAGCACUGGCAGUUGCUGCAGUGAGACUGCCCAGGCACAAGUUUGUGCACGUGUCCAGGACGUGAAGGUGAUGGGAACGUGUCCUGUAGGAGGGAGCAGAGCUGUAACAGUACCCGAGUCUGCUGCUGUGCUGGGAGGAGGAGAAAAACAUCAGCAGUAGUUAGUAGUGGCAGUAGAAG